UGGGGAAUAUUGCACAAUGGGCGCAAGCCUGAUGCAGCGACGCCGCGUGCGGGAUGACGGCCUUCGGGUUGUAAACCGCUUUUGAUCGGGAGCAAGCCUUCGGGUGAGUGUACCUUUCGAAUAAGCACCGGCUAACUACGUGCCAGCAGCCGCGGUAAUACGUAGGGUGCAAGCGUUAUCCGGAAUUAUUGGGCGUAAAGGGCUCGUAGGCGGUUCGUCGCGUCCGGUGUGAAAGUCCAUCGCUUAACGGUGGAUCUGCGCCGGGUGCGGGCGGGCUGGAGUGCGGUAGGGGAGACUGGAAUUCCCGGUGUAACGGUGGAAUGUGUAGAUAUCGGGAAGAACACCAAUGGCGAAGGCAGGUCUCUGGGCCGUUACUGACGCUGAGGAGCGAAAGCGUGGGGAGCGAACAGGAUUAGAUACCCUGGUAGUCCACGCCGUAAACGGUGGAUGCUGGAUGUGGGGCCCGUUCCACGGGUUCCGUGUCGGAGCUAACGCGUUAAGCAUCCCGCCUGGGGAGUACGGCCGCAAGGCUAAAACUCAAAGAAAUUGACGGGGGCCCGCACAAGCGGCGGAGCAUGCGGAUUAAUUCGAUGCAACGCGAAGAACCUUACCUGGGCUUGACAUGUUCCCGACAGCCGUAGAGAUGCGGCCUCCCUUCGGGGCGGGUUCACAGGUGGUGCAUGGUCGUCGUCAGCUCGUGUCGUGAGAUGUUGGGUUAAGUCCCGCAACGAGCGCAACCCUCGCCCUGUGUUGCCAGCACGUCAUGGUGGGAACUCACGGGGGACCGCCGGGGUCAACUCGGAGGAAGGUGGGGAUGACGUCAGAUCAUCAUGCCCCUUACGUCCAGGGCUUCACGCAUGCUACAAUGGCCGGUACAACGGGAUGCGACAUGGCGACAUGGAGCGGAUCCCUGAAAACCGGUCUCAGUUCGGAUUGGAGUCUGCAACCCGACUCCAUGAAGGCGGAGUCGCUAGUAAUCGCGGAUCAGCAACGCCGCGGUGAAUGCGUUCCC
rnacentral:rRNA from 1 species